rnacentral:rRNA from 1 species
UAGGAAUUUUGGACAAUGGGCGCAAGCCUGAUCCAGCAAUGCCGCGUGAGUGAAGAAGGCCUUCGGGUUGUAAAGCUCUUUUGUCAGGGAAGAAACGGCCGAGGCUAAUACCUUUGGCUAAUGACGGUACCUGAAGAAUAAGCCCCGGCUAACUUCGUGCCAGCAGCCGCGGUAAGACGAAGGGGGCUAGCGUUGUUCGGAAUUACUGGGCGUAAAGCGAGUGUAGGCGGUUGCCCAAGUCAGGUGUGAAAGCCUUGAGCUCAACUCAAGAAAUGCACUUGGUACUGGGUGGCUAGAGGACCGGAGAGGAUAGUGGAAUUCCCAGUGUAGUGGUGAAAUACGUAGAGAUUGGGAAGAACACCAGUGGCGAAGGCGGCUAUCUGGACGGUUACUGACGCUAAGACUCGAAAGCGUGGGGAGCAAAC